ACUCCUACGGGAGGCAGCAGUGGGGAAUAUUGCACAAUGGGCGCAAGCCUGAUGCAGCCAUGCCGCGUGUAUGAAGAAGGCCUUCGGGUUGUAAAGUANAGANACUANCGGAGUGAGUGUAGUUAAUAGCUGCAUUAUUUGACGUUAGCUGCAGAAGAAGCACCGGCUAACUCCGUGCCAGCAGCCGCGGUAAUACGGAGGGUGCGAGCGUUAAUCGGAAUUACUGGGCGUAAAGCGCAUGCAGGUGGUUUGUUAAGUCAGAUGUGAAAGCCCGGGGCUCAACCUCGUAAUUGCAUUUGAAACUGGCAGACUAGAGUACUGUAGAGGGGGUGGNAAUGAUCAGGUGUAGCGGUGAAAUGCGUAGAGAUCUGAAGGAAUACCGGUGGCGAAGGCGGCCCCCCUGGACAGAUACUGACACUCAGAUGCGAAAGCGUGGGGAGCAAACAGGAUUAGAUACCCUGGUAGGAUAGCGU
rnacentral:rRNA from 1 species